GGAGGGUUCGCAUAGCGGUCUAGUGCGCACGCUUGGAAAGCGUGUGUGGAGCAAUCCACCAAGGGUUCGAAUCCCUUACCCUCCGCCA
rnacentral:tRNA from 1 species